CAGCUGCUACAAAUUGUGGGCCUGGGCUUUUCUGUGGAAACUGCCCCGCUCUGGGCAAGAAUCAACCUGUCUGCACCAGAGGCCAAGCUAUCAUUCCCACCUCUAUUAUUGAUGGGUUGCCUUUUAACAAGUACACAUGGUUAGUGACUCAUAAUUCGUUUAGCAUCGUGGAUGCACCGCCUUUGCCGGGUGUUCAGAGACUGACAUUUUAUAAUCAAGAAGAUACUGUGACUAAUCAGUUGAGGAAUGGCGUAAGGGGACUGAUGUUGGAUAUGUAUGAUUUUGAGGACGAUAUUUGGCUCUGCCAUUCGUUUCGAGGGCAAUGUUUCAACUUCACAGCCUUUGGACCAGCAAUUAACACCUUGAGGGAAGUAGAAGCAUUCUUGAGUGAAAAUCCAACUGAGAUUGUGACCAUUAUAAUUGAGGACUAUGUGCAUACCCCAAAAGGGUUAACAAAGCUGUUCACUAAUGCUGGUUUAGAUAAGUAUUGGUUUCCUGUCUCCAAUAUGCCCAAAAAGGGUGAAGAUUGGCCCACUGUGACUCAGAUGGUGCAAGACAAUCACCGGCUUCUGGUUUUCACUUCUAUUGCUUCAAAGGAAGCAGAGGAAGGCAUUGCUUAUCAAUGGAAGUAUAUGUUGGAGAAUGAGUCUGGAGAUCCUGGGGUAAAACCAGGUUCGUGCCCGAAUAGAAAAGAGUCAAAGCCAUUGAAUUCCAGAAGUGCAUCUCUUUUCCUAGAGAAUUACUUCCCAACAUAUCCAGUUGAGAG
rnacentral:misc_RNA from 1 species